rnacentral:rRNA from 1 species
GACGAACGCUGGCGGCGUGCUUAACACAUGCAAGUCGAACGGAAAGGCCCUGCUUUUGUGGGGUGCUCGAGUGGCGAACGGGUGAGUAACACGUGAGUAACCUGCCCUUGACUUUGGGAUAACUUCAGGAAACUGGGGCUAAUACCGGAUAGGAGCUCCUGCUGCAUGGUGGGGGUUGGAUAGUUUCGGCGGUUGGGGAUGGACUCGCGGCUUAUCAGCUUGUUGGUGGGGUAGUGGCUUACCAAGGCUUUGACGGGUAGCCGGCCUGAGAGGGUGACCGGCCACAUUGGGACUGAGAUGCGACCCAGACCCCUACGGGACGCAGCAGUGGGGAAUAUUGCACAAUGGGCGGAAGCCUGAUGCAGCAACGCCGCGUGCGGGAUGACGGCCUUCGGGUUGUAAACCGCUUUCGCCUGUGACGAAGCGUGAGUGACGGUAAUGGGUAAAGAAGCACCGGCUAACUACGUG